rnacentral:rRNA from 1 species
CCUACGUGGAGCUGCAGUGGGGAAUAUUGGACAAUGGGCGAAAGCCUGAUCCAGCCAUGCCGCGUGUGUGAAGAAGGCCUUCGGGUUGUAAAGCACUUUCAGUGGGGAAGAAAGCCUUGGGGCUAAUACCCUCGAGGAAGGACAUCACCCACAGAAGAAGCACCGGCUAACUCCGUGCCAGCAGCCGCGGUAAUACGGAGGGUGCGAGCGUUAAUCGGAAUUACUGGGCGUAAAGCGCGCGUAGGCGGUCUGAUAAGCCGGUUGUGAAAGCCCCGGGCGCAACCUGGGAACGGCAUCCGGAACUGUCAGGCUAGAGUGCAGGAGAGGAAGGUAGAAUUCCCGGUGUAGCGGUGAAAUGCGUAGAGAUCGGGAGGAAUACCAGUGGCGAAGGCGGCCUUCUGGACUGACACUGACGCUGAGGUGCGAAAGCGUGGGUAGCAAACAGGAUUAGAUACCCCUGUAGUC